rnacentral:miRNA from 1 species
AAAUCUGUGCUUAUCCUUGCUU